rnacentral:rRNA from 1 species
UAGUCCACGCCGUAAACGAUGAUCACUCGCUUUACAUUACGUAGUAAUUUGAGGCCAAGCGAAAGCGUUAAGUGAUCCACCUGGGGAGUACGCCGGCAACGGUGAAACUCAAAGGAAUUGACGGGGGCCCGCACAAGCGGUGGAGCAUGUGGUUUAAUUCGAAGCAACGCGCAGAACCUUACCAACCCUUGACAUCCUCGGACCACCAGAGAGAUCUGGCUUUCCCUUACGGGACCGAGUGACAGGUGCUGCAUGGCUGUCGUCAGCUCGUGCCGUGAGAUGUUCGGUUAAGUCCGGCAACGAGCGCAACCCACAUCUUUAGUUGCCAGCGGGUCAUGCCGGGAACUUUAAGGAGACUGCCGGUGAUAAACCGGAGGAAGGUGGGACGAUGUCAAGUCAUCAUGGCCUUUAUGAGUAGGGCUACACACGUGCUACAAUGGGCGGUACAAGGGUUGCCAAACCGUGAGGUGGAGCGUAAUCUCAAAAAACCGUUACUCAGUCCGGAUUGGAGUCUGCAACUCGA